rnacentral:rRNA from 1 species
GAUGAACGCUGGCGGCGUGCCUAAUACAUGCAAGUCGAGCGAACAGACGAGGAGCUUGCUCCUCUGACGUUAGCGGCGGACGGGUGAGUAACACGUGGAUAACCUACCUAUAAGACUGGUAUAACUUCGGGAAACCGGAUCUAAUACCGGAUAAUAUAUUGAACCGCAUGGUUCAAUAGUGAAAGACGGUUGUGCGGUCACUAAUAGAGGCAUCCGCGCCGCAUUGGCUAGUUGUUCAGGUAACGGCUUACCAAGGCAACGAGGCGUAGCCGAGCUGUGAGGGUGAUCGCCCACACUGGAGCUUAGCCACGGUCCAGGCGCCUACGGGAGGCCGCAGUCGGCAAUCUUCCGCAGUGGUCGAGAGCCUGACGCAGCAACCCCACGUGAGUGAUGACGGUCUUCGGAUCGUAAAACUCUGUUAUUAGUGAAGAACAAAUGUGUAAGUAACUAUGCACGUCUUGACGGUACCUAAUAAGAAAGCAACGGCUAACUACGUG